CCUACGGGUGGCAGCAGUGGGGAAUAUUGCACAAUGGGGGAAACCCUGAAGCAGCAACGCCGCGUGGAUGAAGAAGGUUUUCGGAUUGUAAAGUCCUUUUGUUAGGGAAGAAGAUGACGGUACCUGACGAAUAAGCACCGGCUAACUACGUGCCAGCAGCCGCGGUAAUACGGAGGGGGCAAGCGUUACUCGGAAUCACUGGGCGUAAGGAGCGCGUAGGCGGUAUAGCAAGUCAGAUGUGAAAUCCCAGGGCUUAACCAGGGAACUGCAUUGGAAACUGUUAGUCUAGAGUGUAGGAGGGGUAGGUGGAAUUCUUGGUGUAGGGGUGAAAUGCGUAGAGAUUAAGAGGAAUACUGAUUGCGAAGGCGGCCUGCUGGACCAUAACUGACGCUGAGGCACGAAAGCGUGGGGAGCAAACAGGAUUAGAUACCCCUGUAGUC
rnacentral:rRNA from 1 species